UGGGGAAUUUUGGACAAUGGGCGCAAGCCUGAUCCAGCAAUGCCGCGUGCAGGAUGAAGGCCUUCGGGUUGUAAACUGCUUUUGUACGGAACGAAAAAGCUCUCUCUAAUACAGGGGGUGAAUGACGGUACCGUAAGAAUAAGCACCGGCUAACUACGUGCCAGCAGCCGCGGUAAUACGUAGGGUGCAAGCGUUAAUCGGAAUUACUGGGCGUAAAGCGUGCGCAGGCGGUUUUGUAAGACAGAUGUGAAAUCCCCGGGCUUAACCUGGGAACUGCGUUUGUGACUGCAAGGCUGGAGUACGGCAGAGGGGGGUGUAAUUCCACGUGUAGCAGUGAAAUGCGUAGAGAUGUGGAGGAACACCGAUGGCGAAGGCAGCCCCCUGGGCCUGUACUGACGCUCAUGCACGAAAGCGUGGGGAGCAAAC
rnacentral:rRNA from 1 species